rnacentral:misc_RNA from 1 species
UCUUGAGAGAAAAUGGAGAGGGUGAUUGGGAACAAAAGUACAAAGAAGAACGAAUUCAUUAGGAAUGUAGAAAAAUGCAAUUUCUGUCUACUCUUGCAUGGGUGUCACAGCAUGUACAUCUGCUUUUAUAUUGGAAAAGUAGAACACCUUUUACAACAAUUUUAGAAGCUUUGAGAGACUAAAUCCUUAUUUGAUUAUGCCAGGCCUAUUUGCAUGUGUUUUGGAUCUAGUCUUACUGAUUUUCUUCGGCAUAUCUGGCAUUAAAGCAUACAUCUUCACAGCAAAUAGUUCCUUGGGAAAUCCCCUCUGAUCCUGUUUUCAAAACACAACAUGAGCAAGUAAACAUAAUAAUUCAGAAAUAUCCUAUUGAUGUGCGCUCCUGCAGCGCAAGUAGCAGGUAAUUCCAACAUUUUUCUGUUGCACUGCCAGUAUUUCUGUUUUUCUUUACCUGGAAGACAGAGACUCCUAAUUACACGUGAUUUCUCACUAUGCCACCCCCACCCGAACCCUCUUUCAUCCUUCUGGUUUUCCUCACUCCGCUUCUUUUAUUGUUUUUGCUUUAUAAUUAAAUCUCUAAGAAAAGGAUAUUGCUAGACUGAAAAAGUAUAGUCAUUGUGACACAAACCGUAAGUUUCCACCCUAAAAUCAAAUUACUGCAAUAUCGCAAUUUACUUUUGUGUGUUAACUUUCAAAUAGAAAAGACAAUGCAGCUGGAAGGAGCAUAUUUUUCAUUUUUGAGCUAAAAGUUAACUAUUAAUGGUUGCUAAAGUACAAUUUAACUCCUUCUAGGUGGCACAAAUAACAAAAAAAAUAUUUGCUUAGACUUUACCAUUUAAAUUUCUUUAGAAAUAAUGCAUAGAUAUUAUAGAGGCACAUAUUCGAAAGUGCAAGAUAAUAUGUCCUAAACCUUAAAUUUCCAUAUAUCAUAUUGUGCCCAUCAAAUUGUUACGACUUAUGAUUUCAAGGGAACAACGUGAAGAAACAAUACUGAUAAAGCAGGAAUCAAAAGAUCCGACUUUGGCAAACAAGUGCUCAAAUUCAACGAGAAUGCAUAGAUACCUUGGCUCUUUUGUGAAGGAGGUGAGCACAAAGGUGAAAUAUGAGAGCAAAAUCUAUGACGGCAAGGGCUUUUGGCUUGCCGCAUUUUCAUGACACAUGGCUGUGAAUGGAAUUUUGGCUUGAAUUUAAUCUAUUUGAGCAUACUUUUCUGUUGGUUUCAAAAUUGAAAUGCAUGAGGGAAACUGUGUUUUAUUAUUAUUAUUA